rnacentral:rRNA from 1 species
AUUGAACGCUGGCGGCAGGCCUAACACAUGCAAGUCGAGCGGUAGAGAGAAGCUUGCUUCUCUUGAGAGCGGCGGACGGGUGAGUAAUGCCUAGGAAUCUGCCUGAUAGUGGGGGAUAACGUCCGGAAACGGACGCUAAUACCGCAUACGUCCUACGGGAGAAAGUGGGGGCUCUUCGGACCUCACGCUAUCAGAUGAGCCUAGGUCGGAUUAGCUAGUUGGUGAGGUAAUGGCUCACCAAGGCGACGAUCCGUAACUGGUCUGAGAGGAUGAUCAGGCAGACUGGAACUGAGACACGGUCCAGACUCCUACGGGAGGCAGCAGUGGGGAAUAUGGGACAAUGGGCGAAAGCCUGAUCCAGCCAUGCCGCGUGUGUGAAGAAGGUCUUCGGAUUGUAAAGCACUUUAAGUUGGGAGGAAGGGUCGUUACCUAAUACGUGGCGAUUUUGACGUUACCGACAGAAUAAGCACCGGCUAACUCUGUGCCAGCCGCCGCCGUAACAC